rnacentral:lncRNA from 1 species
GAAGGAAGAAAAGGAUGGAAGGGAAAAAGGAAGGAGAGAGAGAGAGAGAGAACGCUAAUUGGAGACCUAGCUACACAGAGGUCAAACCACAAAGGAUGCUGUAGGCCCCACUGACUGGGUGCUGUGUUUCUCUCCUGACAGUUUUGUAAAAAGCCAUUGUGACAUUAAGAAGCAACAGUGACAUAACCAGAGCUACACCCUGAAGGAUUUCUUACAAAUCUGAGAGAGACGAGAAGCAAAGAAGACACAGCACAUUCCAGGAGACUGCUAGCAAAUGGGUCUCACCUUGUUCCUAACAAGGUGGCUAACGAAACAGAAGAUGUGCAUGGAGUGGCAUUCAGGAAGGAAGGCUCGAAGGCCUGCUCUCAACACCCGAUACAGAAGAGCAGGAAGAAGGCCAUCGAGUGUUAUAUAAGACAGGCUUGGAGACACAUCUGCUGGAAUUAAAAGUGGCUUCGUUCUCAGAACAGUACCCUGGAGUCACUCUGCGCAGCUGUAUAAAUGGAGUGUAGUUCACCGAGAGAGACACUGAGUGGGAGGCUGGGCCAAAUGGCCCGCAGUGCUUCCUAUUGCUUAGCGUUCUCCUCCCACACGCGAGAACCAGAUGUUCCCCAGACAUCAUCUGUGAGAAAGGAGUCAGCCUCGUCCCAAACAUCCAUUCUCUCUAUGAGAAUAUGUGAAUUCAUGAUACUCAGAGCUCUGAUUGAGCAAGCUUUGGCUUUAACAGGGAUACGUGAGCAACUGAGUUUUCCC